AAUAAAAGAAUUCCAUUUUCCUUCCUCAUUCAUCGGAGAGCUCUAUUUGGGCUUUCCGAAAAGGUAUCACAUGCCAAGUUUGGCCUCACGGUCUAAAAGUUCUAGAGUCAUACAUUUUUGACAAAACAAAAGAGAAAAACCAAAAAAAAAGAGGGAUGCAACACGAGGACUUUCCAGGAGGUCACCCAUCCUAGUACUACUCUCGCCCAAGCACGCUUAACUGCGGAGUUUUGAUGGGAUCUGGUGCAUUAGUGCUGGUAUGAUCGCAUCCGGUACUACAUGCAAUGCAAUCGUAUAUAUUCUUUUUUGAAGACUUUAUGUUCGAUUUGCCGUGGGUCCCACCAGCUAUGUAGGAAUACCUUAUCUUGUUUAUAAGAAUUUGAUACAUCCAAAAUAUUCGAAAACAAUGUCCGAACAUAUAAUUUCGCCCCGUAAUAUAGCAAAGAUCACGAAAAGGCCCGAAAAAGUACAUUAAGGUCAAAAGUUGGAGUAGAAAAAAACACAAUAGAAGAAUUCCAUUUUCCUUCCUCAUCAUCGGAGAGCUCUUUUUGGGCUUUCCGAAAAGGUAUCACAUGCCAAGUUUGGCUUCAUGGUCUAAAAGUUUCAGAGUCAUACAUUUUUAACAAAAAAAAAGAGAAAAACCGAAAAAAAGAGGGAUGCAACACGAGGACUUUCCUGGAGGUCACCCAUCCUAGUACUACUCUCGCCCAAGCACGCUUAACUGCGGAGUUUUGAUGGGAUCUGGUGCAUUAGUGCUGGUAUGAUCACAUCCGGUACUAAAUGCAAUGCAAUCGUAUAUAUUCUUUUUUGAAGACUUUAUGAUCGAUUUGCCGUGGGUCCCACCAGCUAUGUAGGAAUACCUUAUCUUGUUUAUAAGAGAUUUGAUACAUC
rnacentral:sRNA from 1 species